CAUCUUUAUAAAUGAGGAAGCCUAAGCCUUUCAAGGUCAAGUAGCUUGUCCAAGACCUCUGGCCUGUCAGGAAGUGGCAGAAUCAAGACAAACCCUGUUCUGUGUUGAUUCCGAACCUCACGUCCCCACGGGCCUUCUGUGUCCUGCUAGGGGGUCUGUUAUGCCUCCAUAUCACACCUCCAGGGCAGGACGGCCUCUGAGCCCACCUACUGAAGCUUUGAAAAUCGGUUCUCUGAGCUGCCCACUUAUUAGCUCUGGGGCAACUUCUUAGGUCUUGUUCAUUCAUUCUUUCACUCAGCAAAGAGGGCACCUGGUGUGUGUCAAACCAUAUCAUAUACUGGGAUUACCACGAUGAGUAGGAGAGACACAUUUCUAUCCAUUUGAACCUUGUAUUCUUCGUGGAGGAGAGAGGAACCAAAAUCACACAACCAACAAAGACGUAAAACCUUUUCAGGGAGCAAAGAGUACUGUGAGGAUUGUAAAUCAGGAUAAUGAGGUAGAAACUAAUCAAGGAGAGAAGCUUUCUUAGACAAUGACCUUUGUUCUAGGACUGAACAGCAAGAAGGAAUGGAGCAAAUGAAAACUUACAAAGACCAUAUAUGGAAAAAUAAGCAAAAAGUGUUGCAGAUGCAAAGGCCCUGAGGUUGGAUGAGCAAGCAUAUUCAAGGAACAACAAGGUAACCCUGGGAGCCCACUGACAGCCAGUCGGGUCAGAGGGGGAAUGUUGAACUAUGCUGCUGUUGGAAUAAAUCACUCAGCUCUUCCUACAAGGGUGUCUGAGGCUGAGAUACUGCAGCAGAGCUGAGGUAGGAGGUGGAGCCAGGACAAAACAGAGAAAUCACACAGAGAAAGAGGCCAGAGUAAGGACCCGUAUGUGAAAACAUUGGGAACUCAACAGAUAAAAGCUCAUUCCGUCUUCCUGAAGACCCACGAAUGUGCAAAACUGCAGGUAUCUGACCCCGGCCUGUGUCCAGCCUCCACCCUCAUUUGCCCUGUGGUUUUGUCACCCAUCCCAAGGGUGGGCUCUGGACACCAUGAUGUGUCAGCUGAAAACCUUGUACAGUCAAAGCUCCUCCUCCCAGACGGUGGCCGGGUCAGGUAUCCUGUUGGGCCAGGGCUCCUGUCAAUCCCCAGCUGUGGAUCUUCCUAAAAUUCCAGGACCCCAAGAGGCCCAACACCUGCCCCUGCCGAGGCCAUGAGUCUCCUCUCCAGCCCGAUCCCACCCUGUGGCCCCACUUCUGUCAUCUGUAAUAAAGCUUACUUUUGUUAUUUCU